rnacentral:rRNA from 1 species
GACGAACGCUGGCGGCGUGCUUAACACAUGCAAGUCGAACGGAAAGGCCCUGCUUUUGUGGGGUGCUCGAGUGGCGAACGGGUGAGUAACACGUGAGUAACCUGCCCUUGACUUUGGGAUAACUUCAUGAAACUGGGGCUAAUACCGGAUAGGAGCUCCUGCUGCAUGGUGGGGGUUGUAAAGUUUCGGCGGUUGGGUAUGGACUCGCGGCUUAUCAGCUUGUUGGUGGGGUAGUGGCUUACCAAGGCUUUGACGGGUAGCCGGCCUGAGAGGGUGACAGGCCAAAUUGGGACUCAGAUACGGCCCAGACUCCUACGGGAGGCAGUAGUGGGAAAUAUUGUACCAUGGACGGAAGACUGAUGCAGCAACGCCGCGUGAGGGAUGACGGCCUUCGGGUUGUAAACCGCUUUCGCCUGUGACGAAGCGUGAGUGACGGUAAUGGGUAAAGAAGCACCGGCUAACUACGUG